rnacentral:lncRNA from 1 species
GAAAAAUCCAUCACGCUUCCUCACCAGCCCAGCUCUGCUUUGCUUAUGAGCUCUGACAAGAUCACAGCUUGAGCACUGAGGAGGAACAUUACAAUAUAGAGAAUGCUACUGAGGCCAGACCAAGGGAAGCAAAGAAGGGAACAGUAGCAAUCAACACAAAGCUAGGACAUCUGGUGGAGGCAGAACAACAUGUAAGCAAAUACCUUCCUGCUUCAUGACUGAAAACGUGUUUGUGUUGGAAAGUGAGGAUUCUGCAGUUUUACAGAAAUCUAAGCCACUGAAUGCUUCAAGCAGUUUGCAAACCUAAUUAAUGGACAGUCUCAGCUAUUAAAAGAUUACUAGGCCUUCCAAAUCCAGGUGUCUGACAGUGUUUCAAUUGCUGGACUUCAGGGAUAAUAAACCGAAGGCUACACUUCA